rnacentral:ncRNA from 1 species
UUAAAAAUUUUAAUUUAGUUUAUAAUUACUAUAAAGAAUUAAAUAUAUAAAAAUAUAAAAUUAAAUAUAAAAUAAUUAAUAUUAAAUAUUAAUCAGUUAAAGAAAUUUAACUUUAGACUAUCUUUUCUAUGUUUACAAAUUUAAGUGCCAGCAGUAGCGGUUACACUUAAAACUCGGUAAUUACCUUUUAUAGGAAUUUAAUUUUACACUAAGAAAAAAAAUAAAACUUAAUAAGUAGAAUUUUACAGUUUUAAAAAUAUUCUUUAUAAUUAUAAUUUAAAAUGAUAUUAAAAACUAGGAUUAGAUACCCUACUAUUAUCUUAAAAUUUAAAUAAAGUAGUAAAAGUUAAUUCUUCAAACUUAAAAAUUAUGGCGGUAUUUUAAACUAACCAGAGGAACUUGCUUAAUAAUCGAUAAUCCACGAGUUAUUAUACAUUUAAAAUUAAAUUUAUAUAUCGCUGUUAAAUAUAAAUUUUUAUGUUUUUUAUUAAUAUGACCAACUAUGUCAAUUACCCCAAGUCAACACAUAAUUUUUUAAUGCUUAAAGUGAGUUACAUUUACUUAAAGUAAUUUUAUAUAAAAAUUAAAAAUUUAAACUAAAAAGGAUUUGAAAUUAAAAUUUUAUUAUAUAUAAAUUUUGAAUAAGUAAUAAAAUAUGUACAAAUUGCCCGUCACUCUUAAAUAAAUUAAGAUAAGUCGUAACAAAGUAAACUUACUGGAAAGUAAAUUUAGAAG